rnacentral:lncRNA from 1 species
UCCUUGGGUUUGCACCAAAGAAACCCAAUCUGAGGAAGGACCUUACAGAGUCUCUGAAUGAGAAAAACUUCUGUCAGUGAUCCGCUCUUGUGGUAUCCCGGGGCACUCACACAAGUGAAAAAGCCCCUGGAGUCUGAAAAAAGCCUUGUCAGAAACUCUCCUACCUUACCGGGUCCCAAAGAACGUACUCUGCAGAGAACUUUUUGCCAGUGAGAGAUCUAAUUGUGUGGACUGUGUACAUAUAAUAGGUAUGAAGAGAACUGUUCUCAUAGUUAGUUGACCCAUAUGGUAGAGAUGACUUUUAACGGAGUCAGUAUGUAAACAGUUUUUAGAUCCCCAGGAGCUCGUUCUGGGAGGAGUGAGGGCAGAUCGCGGUAGGCCUCAUGGGUAACUCAGGUAAAGAUGCUUUUCUUUUAUCUGAACCACUUCAUGAUUACUUUCGCUUUUUACAAUUUGGAAAUCCAAUAAAGGAAAGGACCGUAACCUUGUGAUAGAAGGUGUGACAUGUGUUACUGUUGGGGGAAAGGAUUGUAUUGACUUUGCCUCUGUCCCUUUUUUAUUCUUGACCAGAAUGGGGACUAGCGUGUUGAUAGUAGCCUGGGAACCAUUUGCUAGUAGUGAAAAGAACUGAACGGCCAGGGAGUAGUGACCCUAGAUCGAAACUGUCCCCCCAGGUUCCUCCUUCAGAGGGCCAACCUCAUAAAGAGGCAGAAUAGUCAGCUUGUGUAUUUUCGUGUGAGUUAAGGCAUCCCCUCAAAAGUUUCCUUUCCCUGAAAUACCUUUGAGAUGAUCGCUGGUUUUCGAAAUCUCCGCUUUAGAGAUUGAUUUCUUUCCAACUCACAAGUGCAAAUUUCAGCAGAACCGUCAUGACGUUGCUAGCGUGCACGUUGUUGGGACCUUAUCACGUCUCUUUCAGUGAUGAGACCCGCUCUUCAGAUCCUCGCAGGCUGAUUAAGGGAAACCAAAAGAAAGGUUUAAGCCUGAGCAGGCACAGAAAAGAACACAUAAUGAUGCAUUAUUAAUGGAGGAGCUAAACUUCUUGAUUCUGAUUAUCCCGACUCCAAAGCUGGUGUUCUUUUCACUCUGUUACCCUGCUGUUGAUAGCAAAUCAAGCCCCAUAAUGAUACGCUUUUCGUUUAUUUCAGUUCUGCCAAGAAAAGAGAAUACUUUUUAUUCCCAGGGAAAGGAUUGCAGUCACCACAACAGAAGGUAUCUGUUUGGCUUGGAAUGUAGGAUUCUAAAUGCUAGAAGGGAAAAGUAGUUGGCAAAUUCAUCAGAGGUUUAAGGAUGAGCACGUAUCUGCAAUUUACCAGGAUAAUUAUGAUUAUCUUUAACAUUCUCUAGAAAUACUAUAAUUAAUCCAGGGAUUAUUAACGGACAAUUCUGAGGGGUUUUUUCCUUCCCUCAGAUUAAAAGACAUUUAAUAUAAAUCCUUAAGAUUCCUCCAGUAUUUGGGAAUAUAGACUGGUGAGUCAGUAUGUUGUUGCUAGUCUGGGUUCUCUGGUUUAUUUUAACAAAUCCCCGAACUCCAGAGAGUGUUGGCAUUCGGACUCAUGGGUGGCCAGUGGCUACCUUGUGUGUGGCUCUAAGCUUUGAUCCUAAUGACUGGUUGAUGAUCUUGAUAAUCUUAGGGUCAGUGGAUAGAGCAUAUAGUGAUAAUAAGGAAUCUGAUUCUAGGGGAUUUUUUGUUUGUGUUUUCGUUUUUGCUUUUUUGUUUUUUUGUGUUUGAAAACAAUUGCUGGAAGUUUAUUCGAUCUGAUGUGUUUUAGUAAUUUUCAUACACAGCUCUUACACCAUGAAAAGUGGCCCAGUGUGACAAAACACGCAAGAUGUAUUUGUUUCUCUUCGGUGCAAAUCAUGCCCGUCACUAGUACAUGUUUGACAGUUGUAAUACUUAAAAUAGUAUUGGGCGUAUGGCCUGGUGGUGAUGACCGUUAGUCCGUAUGGCUACUUGUUAGUCAUUAGAACUUGGAGAAGGGGACAGAGUUUGUAUCGUCGCCAGGGCAGUGACUCGCCCCUUCUUUCAACUAAUCUUACCGGUAAUUGUCUCUCAUCUUUAAGUAAGUUAAGGAUGGACCAUCCCUCAAAAGGAGAACAUUAGGAGUAUGAGACAGGUCUGAGGGUGAGGGCUUUUAACUGUGGGGGAAAAGGUGUUGGUGUUGUUCAUAGAGCAUAACCUGAGGUUGGAGAGGACCACUUGGGAGCCUGUAACCUAAACUAGAAGGUAACUUCUGGGAUGGAUGGAGGUUCUCUUGAGACAGUGCCAACCUAAAUCUACCUCAGGUAAGUAGUUAGAGUACCUUUCAAGAUUUCAGACCAAACGAGACACUUGUAUUCAGUCAAUGUAUUCCUAUGCUUUAAUGUUUUUGUUUUCCCUUAAUUCUUAAAUAAACUUUUAUUCUGAAAAACUCUA